UCCGUAGGUGAACCUGCGGAAGGAUCCUUA
rnacentral:ncRNA from 2 species